UCAGUCGCACAUGUUGAAGAGUUACCUGUCCAGGUCCCUCGCCGUGGCAUCUCCAGCCACCACUGCAGCUAUGGUGGUCGCAUCACCAUCAGGUUCAGGGUUAUGAGAACAUGAGCCAUUUGGACAUUUGAGAGAAAGAUCAAACCGUUAGUGUCUAUAUCAGGUGAGGCAAGUUUAUGAUCAUGGUGGAGAUGAGGUGGCUCGGAGAAGCGUUGUGGUUAGUUCCGUGGACCACAAUAACAUGAUCUAAUGGGUGUGAUGGGCAGAACACUUCAGCUCUGGUUGUGGUGUUGCUCUGUCCAUUCGAUGUCCACUGGUUGCAUAUUUACAACACACGGAUGGCUACAUGUGUUGCUCUGUUCAUUAUAUUAGUUCCAUUUCUUUGGUCGUGUAGCAGGAAUGCAACUCAUCUUUUUACAGUUUGUCUCCUGCAUGGUCGGGUUUCCUACACAGUUCAUGGAGUUUUUGGAAUUCUUUUGCUCACGUAAAGAUGCUCGUGGCUGUCGGCCACAUCGUGUGAGGUGAUCGAGCACUAUGUCAGCAUUUUUUAUUAUGCCGAAUGAAGCAUACAAAUUGUCAUAUAUAAUUUUUCCGAUCAACUUGUAGCAUAGAGGCUUGGUUUGAGUAUCUUCUUGCAUUUAUGGCAGAGAAGAAGAUAUGUACCAGAUGCUAGCUAGCUUCCCUUUGUGGCGCUGGUGCUAACUAGCUUAAUUUUUUCACUUUUGGCAAUUGUUAGACUGUUGCCUGUCUUACAAAAUUUAUUUUUCCUAAAUAAAUCAUCAAGUUUGCUUGCUUGGCCAUAGGCAUUUUAAACUGUGGUGAGCAAAUAACUAUCAACCAAGUGUUCCAUACAGUUUAUUUGUGGCAUGCUGCUAUAUAUAUGAACUUUGGAUGCAAUAGUUUCAUUCAAAUUUCACCAUCAUAUUCAUAUGUCAGCGGCUCAUGAGCAAAUGUGCUGCUUUUUUCCCCUGCAAGGUCAUAUAAUGUUACGUGGGUAUAAUAUUGUGACAGUUUAUUAUUUUCAAGAAUAUAUGUGCUAAUUCAGUAGAAGGUGGUGUUAGUUUUAGUACCUUUCUCCUAAGUCCUAAACGAGUCUUUUAAUUGGAUACCAUUCGCAUUGUUUGCCUAUUUAUUUGGAUCGCCUAUGUUCUUCUUACAAGCUAUAUGUAUCACCUGCUGUUAAAUUUAUCAUUAUUCGUCAGCCGUUCGCAGGUUGUUGAGAUUUUAACCACAGCCCUGCUUGAGGAGAUGCUGAAGAAGCUAUGUUUGCCAAGUCUGAAGUACAAGAAAUACUUAGCUCUGGAAGCAUAGCUGAUUGCUUCGGUGCCAGCCCCCGCACCUAGGUGCAACGGCUCCAACUCCUGGUGGUGAGCAUGGGUAUUCAUGGGAAAACUCCUGACCCUCCUAGGGCAAGACCCUGUGGUCUCACGGGAAUCUGGAACAUACAUCGUCUGGUUGAUUCCAGGGCUCGUUGCAUAUGCAGUCAGCCAGCCCCUAACAAAGUUUUUGCAGUCUCAAAGCCUAAUAAUUCCUAUGCUUUGGUCCUCCAUUGAAACAUUGCUCUUGCACAUUCCUCUUUGUUGGUUAUUGGUUUUCAAGACCAGUCUGGGGUAUUUUGGAGCCUCUUUGGCAAUAAGUGUAUCGUACUGGUUGAACGUAUUCAUGCUUGUUGCAUACAACGGAUUCUCAAAUUCCUGCAAGGAGACAUUCUCACCUCCUACGAAGGAUACCUUCAGUGGAGUCGCUGUGUUCAUUUUAGUGUGUUGCAGGUAUGGUUGUCCAACACAUGUAUAUAGAUAACUGCAUAUAGAAAGUUUGCUAUUGCUUUCCUUGAUAAAAACUCUUAGUUCCAGUUAGUAUCUUGCAAUUCAAAUAAUCCAGUCUGCAGGUCUCUAUAUGAACACUUGGUGCUCCUAGGUUAUUUGAUAAAAUUAUUAUCGGAGAUUAGCCGGCCGAAAAGCCCUCUGUUGCUGCUUGAGUGUUGGACCAGCGGUAGUAGAUCUGGUGUAUUAACCAAAUCCUGGUUUCAAAUCAGAUCUAGAUAGUCAUAAGUGCACUACCAGAAGAAAAAUAAGUAAAUUUAUAUCAACUUCAAUACUGGCAAAUACGGAGCUAUUGUUCUGGAUUUUCUUUGAAAAGUACUACUGAAUGAGUUGGUAUAUCUUAUUAACUUUGAUCAGAUCAAGUGUGGAGACUCGACGAGCAUACAUAAUAAAUGUAAUGGCCUUAAUGAUUUAAACUAAUCAUUUGGUUGUAUCUUCUUUCUUUCAUUUCUUGGCCAACUGCCUCCUCCUUUGUUCAGGGAAAUCAUAUGUAUGUAGUAAUCGCCGUUUUUAUAUGUUUCUCUUUGCUUAGAAACAUAUGCUCUUUUUGCGAAGGGGGCAAUACCGGUUAUUAGGUAAAUCAUGUAGCUGAAUACUUUCUUCCAUGUCUUCGUAAGAAAUGUACAUAUCCUGAUUUAGUGUGCUCACAAGAUCCAUACUUUUUUCAUAGAAAUCUUACAUAUAUAAUAUGGAAUAUCUAAAUUUUCAAAUAUAUAGAUUUUAUGGGUAUGCCAUGAAACUUAUGGGUAUGCGCUCUUACUGACUCAAACUAUGGACAUUUAUUAUUAUUAUUGUUUCCCUCUUCUGUUGGCAUGUGUGUCAGGAUGAAAAAUCUGAUUUACGUCAAAGUUUGAAACAAUGGUUGCUAUUUACAAACAUAUAUGAUGAUAUGCAUCAAGCUGAAUCUAGGUUAUCAAAUCAUAUCUUUAAUCAUUAAUUUUGAAAGUUGACCAGAUUCGCGGAUUGAUCCUCAAUUGCUCCAAGGUUUUUGUUUGUGUUUGUUUAGAUAGAGAGCUACGUCUUCUCAAAAUGUAUACUUCAAAAUGGUGGCUGGUGUGCGACAUGCUUGCUUAUCAUCUAUUCUGAUAGAUGAUCAAUAUAGCGUCUUGUUUAACAGUGUGGAAGACGGAGGUCACGCCAUGUGAGGUGAACACAUUCAAAUAAGUGCGCCAUGUGAGGUGAACACAUUCAAAUGACGAUGUGAAUUUCACGGGAUCGUGCACGAUCCCGGAUCACCAGGUUCAUCGUCAUCAACCAGUAACCAGCUCCGAACCCUUGCUCAGUGGAAGGUGCUCCUGUAUAUCU